CACGCAGGUCUCGACCGUCUCGACCCCUAAACAAAUCAAUUUGAAUACCCACAAUUAUAUGCGGUUAUGGUGGAUCAAUAUAGGCAAAUUGUGCAACUGUCAUAUCUGCUGUCCCUACUUGGCACAGUGUCAAGACUCCAACCUCUGCGAAGCAACGUAACAUCCAGAUUACUAGCUGGGGACACAUUUGGACGAGAAGACAACUAUCAAGACUACGAAAUUCCACCACAAGAAAACUACGGCUCUUCUAAGUAACUUGGGAUGCUGAAGAUGGAGGCAGCGGUUUCUCUGAAAUGUUGGUAACAAACUACCUGCCAGGGUACAUGGCAUCACGUCCCAGAAGACAUAUAAUCUACUCAGGAGCUUCCAUGACGAUAUUCAAUGGAAGUACUUCUAUCACACAGAAUAGCAAUGUGUGGGGCAAACAGUACAAAAAGACAGCAAAAACUAUUCUGUAGAAGUAGUUCUUGGGAAUAAUUUAUGAUAAAUACUCCUUUGUAUAUGUUUUAUAUGGCGAGACUAGCAGAAACUAUAAACUCAUAAUUAUAAAAACUUAAUUUAA